AGUGAACGCUGGCGGCAGGCCUAACACAUGCAAGUCGAGCGGCAGCGGGUUCCCGCGAGGGGAUGCCGGCGAGCGGCGGACGGGUGAGGAACACAUCGGAAUCUGCCUGGGUUGUGGGGGAUAACGUAGGGAAACUUACGCUAAUACCGCAUGCGACCCUGAGUCGACGGACUGGGGGUGAAAGUGAGGGACCUUCGGCCUCACGCGACCAGAUGAGCCGAUGUCGGAUUAGCUAGUUGGCGGGGUAACGGCCCGCCAAGGCGACGAUCCGUAGCUGGUCUGAGAGGAUGAUCAGCCACACUGGGACUGAGACGACGGCCCAGACUCCUACGGGAGGCAGCAGUGGGGAAUCUUGGACAAUGGGCGCAAGCCUGAUCCAGCCAU
rnacentral:rRNA from 1 species